GAUGAACGCUGACGGCGUGCCUAAUACAUGCAAGUCGAGCGAACGGACGAGAAGCUUGCUUCUCUGAUGUUAGCGGCGGACGGGUGAGUAACACGUGGAUAACCUACCUAUAAGACUGGGAUAACUUCGGGAAACCGGAGCUAAUACCGGAUAAUAUUUUGAACCGCAUGGUUCAAAAGUGAAAGACGGUCUUGCUGUCACUUAUAGAUGGAUCCGCGCUGCAUUAGCUAGUUGGUAAGGUAACGGCUUACCAAGGCAACGAUGCAUAGCCGACCUGAGAGGGUGAUCGGCCACACUGGAACUGAGACACGGUCCAGACUCCUACGGGAGGCAGCAGUAGGGAAUCUUCCGCAAUGGGCGAAGGCCUGACGGAGCAACGCCGCGUGAGUGAUGAAGGUCUUCGGAUCGUAAAACUCUGUUAUUAGGGAAGAACAUAUGUGUAAGUAACUGUGCACAUCUUGACGGUACCUAAUCAGAAAGCCACGGCUAACUACGUG
rnacentral:rRNA from 1 species